rnacentral:pre_miRNA from 2 species
GCCACCACUCACACCCACUGCUGGUGCCCAGCGCUGGUCCAAAUCACUUGGCACUGUCAGUGGAUGUGAGCAGUGGCUG